UUUUUUUUUUUUUUUCAUUUUCUAAGAUUUUUCAUUUUCCUCCUCGCUACCUUUUCUCUAUACGUAUAUAAUACUCGUAUUUAUAUAUACCUAUCUGGGCUCACAUUUAAAGUUUCAUCGGGAAUAUGGACAUCUGUAUUAGUUAGCUGAUCAUAGUCCCCGUGGAAUAGGGUUUUGUGUAUUUAUUAUUAUUUUUUAUCAUCAUUAUUAUUAUUAUUAUUAUUAUUAUUUUUUUUUUUUUUAUUAUUAUUAUUAUUAUUAAUUUAUUUUAUCGUGUACACGAAAAUGCGCUGUGUAAAAAACUCGAAAAAAAAAAACAAACUCUCGGAUUUUUCGAAUUUUUGACUAUUUAUAAUAAUAAUAUUAUUGCAGCAUAUCAUAUUUUGUAACGGAUCGCGUCCGAUUUGAUAAUAUUAUAAUAAUAAUUAUGCAUAAUUAUGAUAUUAUUGAUUAUUUAUCGCGUAUUAUGUUAACUAUUUAGACAUUAACAAUAUAAAACGUAUUAUAUUAUUAAUUUCUAUACAAUAUUAUAAUGAUUAUUGUAAUAUCUUACAUUGUAUUAUUGAUUGCAUAAUAAUAUGCGUCGACGACGGUGUAAUAGAUAAUUUUUUUUUUUUUCUGUAAUAUGGAAAUUGAACACUUUUUUUUUUUUUUUUGGCAUUAUUUUUGUAUUGUAUUCGUCGAAACGUUAUAAUAACGACUAACAUCAAUCAGAAAAAAUAUUAGAACAUUGAAAAAAAAAUCACGUGUAUAAAUAAUACGUAGGCUUAAAAAGACUGACUUACUAUAUGAUAAUAAUAAUAUACUCUCCGCGGACACUUCUGUAAAAUGAAAUUUUUUGUUUUCCCAUUAAAGGUAUUCAAAUGUUUUAUGGACGGUCUCAGGAACGAUAUGUUUUUUUUUUAUAUAUAUAUAUAUAUAUAUAUUUAUAUAUAUAAUAACAUAUUACACUUCCCCAUUUUAUUUAUUAUUAUUAUUGAUUUUUUUUUUUUUUUUUUGUACAUAAAACGUGAAAUAAAAAACAAAUAUUAUAAUUAUCA